UCCCAAAGUCAUGGUUAAGUGGGAAACGAUGUGGGAAGGCCCAGACAGCCAGGAUGUUGGCUUAGAAGCAGCCAUCAUUUAAAGAAAGCGUAAUAGCUCACUGGUCGAGUCGGCCUGCGCGGAAGAUGUAACGGGGCUAAACCAUGCACCGAAGCUGCGGCAGCGACACUAUGUGUUGUUGGGUAGGGGAGCGUUCUGUAAGCCUGUGAAGGUGUACUGUGAGGUAUGCUGGAGGUAUCAGAAGUGCGAAUGCUGACAUAAGUAACGAUAAAGCGGGUGAAAAGCCCGCUCGCCGGAAGACCAAGGGUUCCUGUCCAACGUUAAUCGGGGCAGGGUGAGUCGACCCCUAAGGCGAGGCCGAAAGGCGUAGUCGAUGGGAAACAGGUUAAUAUUCCUGUACUUGGUGUUACUGCGAAGGGGGGACGGAGAAGGCUAUGUUGGCCGGGCGACGGUUGUCCCGGUUUAAGCGUGUAGGCUGGUUUUCCAGGCAAAUCCGGAAAAUCAAGGCUGAGGCGUGAUGACGAGGCACUACGGUGCUGAAGCAACAAAUGCCCUGCUUCCAGGAAAAGCCUCUAAGCAUCAGGUAACAUCAAAUCGUACCCCAAACCGACACAGGUGGUCAGGUAGAGAAUACCAAGGCGCUUGAGAGAACUCGGGUGAAGGAACUAGGCAAAAUGGUGCCGUAACUUCGGGAGAAGGCACGCUGAUAUGUAGGUGAAGUCCCUUGCGGAUGGAGCUGAAAUCAGUCGAAGAUACCAGCUGGCUGCAACUGUUUAUUAAAAACACAGCACUGUGCAAACACGAAAGUGGACGUAUACGGUGUGACGCCUGCCCGGUGCCGGAAGGUUAAUUGAUGGGGUUAGCGGUAACGCGAAGCUCUUGAUCGAAGCCCCGGUAAACGGCGGCCGUAACUAUAACGGUCCUAAGGUAGCGAAAUUCCUUGUCGGGUAAGUUCCGACCUGCACGAAUGGCGUAAUGAUGGCCAGGCUGUCUCCACCCGAGACUCAGUGAAAUUGAACUCGCUGUGAAGAUGCAGUGUACCCGCGGCAAGACGGAAAGACCCCGUGAACCUUUACUAUAGCUUGACACUGAACAUUGAGCCUUGAUGUGUAGGAUAGGUGGGAGGCUUUGAAGUGUGGACGCCAGUCUGCAUGGAGCCGGCCUUGAAAUACCACCCUUUAAUGUUUGAUGUUCUAACGUUGGCCCCUGAUCGGGGUUGCGGACAGUGUCUGGUGGGUAGUUUGACUGGGGCGGUCUCCUCCUAAAGAGUAACGGAGGAGCACGAAGGUUGGCUAAUCCUGGUCGGACAUCAGGAGGUUAGUGCAAUGGCAUAAGCCAGCUUGACUGCGAGCGUGACGGCGCGAGCAGGUGCGAAAGCAGGUCAUAGUGAUCCGGUGGUUCUGAAUGGAAGGGCCAUCGCUCAACGGAUAAAAGGUACUCCGGGGAUAACAGGCUGAUACCGCCCAAGAGUUCAUAUCGACGGCGGUGUUUGGCACCUCGAUGUCGGCUCAUCACAUCCUGGGGCUGAAGUAGGUCCCAAGGGUAUGGCUGUUCGCCAUUUAAAGUGGUACGCGAGCUGGGUUUAGAACGUCGUGAGACAGUUCGGUCCCUAUCUGCCGUGGGCGCUGGAGAACUGAGGGGGGCUGCUCCUAGUACGAGAGGACCGGAGUGGACGCAUCACUGGUGUUCGGGUUGUCAUGCCAAUGGCACUGCCCGGUAGCUAAAUGCGGAAGAGAUAAGUGCUGAAAGCAUCUAAGCACGAAACUUGCCCCGAGAUGAGUUCUCCCUGACUCCUUGAGAGUCCUGAAGGAACGUUGAAGACGACGACGUUGAUAGGCCGGGUGUGUAAGCGCAGCGAUGCGUUGAGCUAACCGGUACUAAUGAACCGUGAGGCUUAACC
rnacentral:rRNA from 1 species